rnacentral:rRNA from 1 species
UACAGAGGUCUCGAGCGUUAGGCGGAAUCACUGGGCUUAAAGCGUGUGUAGGUGGAUGGAUAAGUACCUUGUGAAAUCCCACAGCUUAACUGUGGAACUGCUGGGUAUACUGCCUGUCUUGAGUCACUCAGGGGCGAGCGGAACAGAUGGUGGAGCGGUGAAAUGCGUAGAUAUCAUCUGGAACGCCAAUGGUGAAGACAGCUCGCUGGGGGUGUACUGACACUGAGACACGAAAGCCAGGGGAGCGAACGGG